rnacentral:lncRNA from 10 species
GCGGGAAUGAGGAUUGGCUUGUCCACCGUGUUCACUGGACGGUAGGAAAAAAGAAAAGUCAGAAAAGGGAGAGCGAUGUUCAAGUUCAUGCUCAACUGUGGCUACUUCUCUGAACCCAAGAGGCCACCAGCCCCUAGCUGCCUUGGCCAUUGCUGGGGUGGGCAUUAACUGGGAUCUUGAGCCCCCGUUUCUGCUGAUGGUCGACAACUUAAACUUGCCAAGUCAAGAUGGCAUUUGAGGGGGAGAGGAUAAGCCAAGGGAAGAGGAAAAUCAAAAUGCUUUCAGCAGCACGGCUUCCGCAUGCUGGAGAGGUGGUGUAUGGGGUUGCGGCUUGGCCUGUUUUCUGAAACCUGCAAGGUAGCACCCUGAAGGUAGCUUGUAACCCUCCACUCUCACACCAAGGUAAUACCUCCUUCCUGUCUGGCCACCUGUCACAGCCAGUGGAAGUAGGGUUUGGAGGGAUGGUUGGGACAUCCUUACACAAUGUUAGGUGGAGACUUAGUGAUGGCUUCGGGGGAAGGCAGAGGGAGUCUCUCUUGCGUCAGGGGGGUGGAAGCACCGCUGCCAUGAUCAAGCCCUUUGGAUGAAAGGAGGGCUGUGAGAUUUGCUGCCCAGAUGUGGGUUUGCAAAUGACCUUGUUGGUCUGUUACCCUGGCCUAGCUCAUAGAAGCUUUCUUCUCCUGUGGCUUGGGAGAGAGCCACCGUAAAAGACAAGCUGUGGCUAGUAAGCAUCUUCUAUGUGCUCUGGACUGUCUCAUGCAAGAGCUAGGGCAUAGGAUCCUCAUGAUGGCCCUUCAAGAGGGGUUAAUCUUGUCGUUGUUGCACUUCUAUGAGGAAACAGACCAUGUGAGGCUAAGUAACUUGCUCAAGGUCACACAGGGGUGAUUGAUGGGGUCACCCAGACUGUCUGACUCUUGUGUGGGUAUGGCUGCCCUCCUUGUCAGCCGGCGGGGUAUAGAGGCUGGCCCUCCAUUCUUGAUUUGCUCAGUAAUGGGGGCAGGACAACUCCACCUCCUUCUUCCCAAAGGAAAGUUGAGCUCAUUUUGGAAAGAAAGCAAACAGCCGUUCUCCUCUGGGGCUCUAUCCGGGGACAGGGCAGAAAGGAAAUCCAGUACACUGCGGAAGGAGUCAUUUUUUGGCCUGGUUCUCACCACCCAUCUCUAGUUCAAACCCUGCUUUUAGCAUAUCUGUGUUGAUGGGGCAGGGCCUGGGAAUCACGAUUUGCCUUUAAGAAGUGGAUGCACUUGGAGAGGCUGGCGCUUCCACCAACCAGGAAGAGCUGGGGGCACCCUGCUUGCUCUCCGAAACUUCACAGAAAGCCCCAAGAGCUGGGGAUGUGGGUUCUGUUCUGGAUCUCCAAGAGACGACGUCAUGCUAGAAUGUUCCCUUCAUUUUUGAAAACUGCACUCCUGCCUGGGGCCAUCUCGUGUCUUCAAUGGCUAAAGUAGAUGCUGAUUUGGGCAACCAGCUUUCUUUUCUGUUUUGAAAAUUAAUGCACCUGUGUAGUCACCCAGGCUUGAUAGUUGCAACAAUAACUCAUGGACAAGUUGUGUGACUGGUGGUAGUGACUCCAUUUGCUCACACCUCCUUGGAUUCAGUCCCUGGUGUAGUUCCCUCCCACACUGACUGUGGGUUUGGCCAGGUGACUUGCUUUGGCCAAUGGGACACCAUCAACCAUGAUUAGCAGAGGUUUGAAAAGUGCUUGUGCAUUGAGAUUUGCCCUCUCACGCUGUUCUUGGGACCCUUACAACUGCCAACAUGUGAAUGUGCCUGGGUUAGGCAGGUGGAGGUAUGUGGCCCAGUCACCACUGCCACCCAGCUGACAACCAGCACCAACCACCAGACACACUGCAUGAGGCCAUCCUAGACCAUUCGGUUCCCAGGUGACCUGCCAGCUGGUCACAGGUGAGUCCAGCAGAAGAACUGCCCAACCCAGCCCAGCCCAAAUUGCAGAUCUGCAGAAUCAUGGGCUGAUAAAUGAUUGCUCUUUUAAGCCACUAAGUUUUGGGGUGUUUUUUUAUUGUGAUAAAAUAUGCAUAACAUAGCAUUUACCAUUUUAACCAUUUUUAAACGUACAGUUGAGUGGCAUUCAGUACAUUCACAUUGUGCUACCAUCACCACCAGCCAUCUGCAGAAGUUUUUCAUCAUUUGCCGGGGUUCUUUAUAUAUCUAAGCUCACUCACUGAUUCACAAGCUGCGGGGGCUGCCUGCACCUCCCUGACUGUCUUGCAGCUGAUGAGCUUGUCUCUGAGUGGAGGCUCAGGCUCAGGCACCGAGCUCUGGAGUGAGGCCCAGUUCCAAACUGAAAGAGAACAAUGUCCACGGGUCUCGGCUGUAGCCACAGUUUAACACAACCCUGGCUUCCCUCAGGCAUGCUCACAAACGAUCCUGUUCCUGUGGGUGCAGGGAAGACAGACAAGCAGGGUCUCCACAAGGGAGGCUGCAGACCACAGGCAGACCCGGUGACAGGGGACAUGCUGGGACUUGCUGUUUAAAGAGCCACCACCAGGAACUUGGCACCUGACCUUGUGCUCAGGGGUGAGCUGUGACAGCUGCCACACCAGCCCUGCUGUCCUUGCCACUUCUAGCUGUGUGACUUGGGGUGAGUCACUUAAGCUUUCUGAGUCUGUUUUUUUCCCCCAUCUGCUAACUGAAUGUAAUCGUAGUGCCAUGUUUUAGGGCAAGGAUUAGAGGAGCCAGUGUUGGACACACUAACAGUUGCUUCAUUAAUUAAUAUAUGGGGCUGGCCAGGAUCCCUAUUCCCCCUGGCCCCAGACCCCUACCAUCUUUCCUCAUCCUUACUGGGAAGGGGCCUUUAGAAAGAAAAGAGACAAGGUCGGGCACGGUGGCUCAUGCCUGUAAUCCCAGCACUUUGGGAGAUCACCUGAGGUCAGCAGUUGGAGACCAACCUGGCCAACAUGGUGAAACCCUGUCUCUACUAAAAAUACAAAAAUUAGCUGGUCAUGGUGGCACUCGCCUGUAAUCCCAGCUACUGGGGAGGCUGAGGCAGGAGAAUUGCUUGAACCCAGGAGGUGGAGGUUGCAGUGAGCCAAGAUUGUGCCACUGCAUUCCAGCCUAGGGGACAGAGCAAGACUCUGUAAAAAAAAAAAAAAAAAAAAAAGAAAAGAAAAGAGAAAGACUUUGUUAGCAUCAGAAAUUAUGCUUUGAGAGGGAUCUUCAGUAUUAGCUGGAGAAACACUCAUUUGUCUUUUAGAUACUCACUUCUUGAUAUUCAUGUUAGGACCCUGGGCUAGGCUGACAGUGUAUAUAAAUAAAUACGGGGGCUCUGGGAGAGGAGGGAGAGAGCAAGGGCAUUUGGGGAUGCUGUGGCAGACUGUUGUGUUUAUUUUCUUCAUCUUCUUAUGUAAUAGAACCCCUGAUUUUUAGUUGGGCAUACACUCAUCUGGAAUAAAGACAAUGUUUCCCA